AUUUAUUUAGUAUAAAAAGUACAUAUAGCCUCCAACUAUAAAGUUUAUUUUUAAAUAAAUA
rnacentral:tRNA from 1 species